GACGAACGCUGGUUGGCGUGCUUAACACAUGCAAGUCGAACGGAAAGGCCCUGCUUUUGUGGGGUGCUCGAGUGGCGAACGGGUGAGUAACACGUGAGUAACCUGCCCUUGACUUUGGGAUAACUUCAGGAAACUGGGGCUAAUACCGGAUAGGAGCUCCUGCUGCAUGGUGGGGGUUGGAAAGUUUCGGCGGUUGGGGAUGGACUCGCGGCUUAUCAGCUUGUUGGUGGGGUAGUGGCUUACCAAGGCUUUGACGGGUAGCCGGCCUGAGAGGGUGACCGGCCACAUUGGGACUGAGAUACGGCCCAGACUCCUACGGGAGGCAGCAGUGGGGAAUAUUGCACAAUGGGCGGAAGCCUGAUGCAGCAACGCCGCGUGCGGGAUGACGGCCUUCGGGUUGUAAACCGCUUUCGCCUGUGACGAAGCGUGAGUGACAGUAAUGGGUAAAGAAGCACCGGCUAACUACGUGCCAGCAGCCGCGGUGAUACGUAGGGUGCGAGCGUUGUCCGGAUUUAUUGGGCGUAAAGGGCUCGUAGGUGGUUGAUCGCGUCGGAAGUGUAAUCUUGGGGCUUAACCCUGAGCGUGCUUUCGAUACGGGUUGACUUGAGGAAGGUAGGGGAGAAUGGAAUUCCUGGUGGAGCGGUGGAAUGCGCAGAUAUCAGGAGGAACACCAGUGGCGAAGGCGGUUCUCUGGGCCUUUCCUGACGCUGAGGAGCGAAAGCGUGGGGAGCGAACAGGCUUAGAUACCCUGGUAGUCCACGCUGUAAACGGUGGGUACUAGGUGUGGGGUCCAUUCCACGGGUUCCGUGCCGUAGCUAACGCUUUAAGUACCCCGCCUGGGGAGUACGGCCGCAAGGCUAAAACUCAAAGGAAUUGACGGGGCCCCGCACAAGCGGCGGAGCAUGCGGAUUAAUUCGAUGCAACGCGUAGAACCUUACCUGGGUUUGACAUGGAUCGGGAGUGCUCAGAGAUGGGUGUGCCUCUUUUGGGGUCGGUUCACAGGUGGUGCAUGCCUGUCGUCAGCUCGUGUCGUGAGAUGUUGGGUUAAGUCCCGCAACGAGCGCAACCCUUGUUCACUGUUGCCAGCACGUUAUGGUGGGGACUCAGUGGAGACCGCCGGGGUCAACUCGGAGGAAGGUGGGGAUGACGUCAAGUCCUCAUGCCCCUUAUGUCCAGGGCUUCACGCAUGCUACAAUGGCUGGUACAGAGAGUGGCGAGCCUGUGAGGGUGAGCGAAUCUCGGAAAGCCGGUCUCAGUUCAGAUUGGGGUCUGCAACUCGACCUCAUGAAGUCGGAGUCGCUAGUAAUCGCAGAUCAGCAACGCUGCGGUGAAUACGUUCCCGGGGCU
rnacentral:rRNA from 1 species